AAGGGGAGGGGAGGGGGAAGGGGAAGAUAGGCAUGCAUAAAGACCUGCAGGGCCAAUAGAACACAUUCUCCUGGGCCUAGGAGGAGAACAUGCCUAAAUCCCCCAGAAUCUCCUUCAUGAAAAAGGUCAGUCUUCCAGGGGGAAGACCACAGGAGUCCACAGGAGGCUGCCUCCUGGGAGAUUAUGGAAACAGGGGCUGUGGGCAGGCAGACUGGAGAGGCCUUUUGGCAAUGGUUUGACCUGGUGUGUGAAAUUUUUUUCCUGCUUAGAUAGUUGGCACACAUUUUAGAGGCAAAAUGGAAUUUAUUAACCGAAGAUAUUUGCCAAGGAUUGUUCUCUCCCCGAUCAACGGCCCCCUGCCAACUCCAUUCUUCAUUUUUAUUUUAUUUUUUAAACUUCUUCUUCCCAGGAUAGAGGACUUCAUCAAUAAGGUUCUUUCAUCUCCCUUUGUUGUUUGGAUCCUUAAGCCUGGCUUGAAAGAAGAGGGAGAAGGCUUCAGGGGAAAUGCUGUCUGCGCUGACCCACAGCAUGGCUUCCUUCAACAAAUGCAGAGAAGGAAAGCAAAGCCCAGAGAGGGAAAUUCUCACCCAAGGCCUUGUAGCUGCUGGCAGUGGAGUAGCCUCUAGUCUCUCAGGCCAGUGUCUUGCCACUGUGAAGAAGAGGAAUGGCCAAACCCACUGCGGAGAGAGAAUGUGUCAUUGACCACACUGUCUAUGAGAAUGGCAGGUCUUACCUUUAAAUUCCCUAAUGGAAUUUAAUGCAGAUUGAACCCACACAAAAAGCAACCAUUUUUUUUUUUGGCCACCUCUGAUUGGCUGCCUGCUAUGAGAGAAACAUCAGGAAGUACAUAUUGCCAUGGAGGGAAGUGAAGAUGGAGGACACCUCAUUUGUGGAACUGGGCACGGCCUUUGGGUCACAUGAGGCUCACCCCUGAUGAGCUUGAACAUGGCAGUUACUGAAUAUAACUCCAGAAACUGGUAUUAGGCUCUGUAUGGACAUGCAGAGGAAGAAGAACCUGUCGCCACAUCUACAGAGGGUUCAGGAAAGACACACUUGCAGUGACCCUAAGAAACCAUGGGCAAGUCUCCAUUUUUUCCCUCAGCCAAACCUGUAUGCACUGGUACAGCCAUACCAAUUAUUAAAAUAUUGAAAAAUUUCUGCA